CCUCUCCAAGUGUCUUUUCAUUCAGGGAAAACUGUUGUUUGCCGAGCCCAAGGAUGCGGGCUUUCCAUUUAGCCAGGAUAUCAAUAGCCAUUUGGCCAGCCUCUCAAUGGCUAGAAACACGAGCCCCACUCCAGACCCCACUGUUAGAGAGGCUUUGUGUGCCCCGGAUAACUUAAAUGCGAGUAUUGAAAGUCAGGGCCAGAUUAAGAUGUACAUCAAUGAAGUGUGUCGGGAGACUGUGUCACGUUGCUGCAACUCAUUUCUGCAGCAGGCCGGAUUAAAUUUGUUAAUAAGCAUGACAGUUAUUAAUAACAUGCUUGCCAAGUCCGCUUCAGACUUGAAGUUUCCUUUGAUAUCAGAGGGAAGUGGAUGUGCUAAGGUUCAGGUUUUGAAACCGCUGAUGGGUUUGUCUGAAAAGCCAGUCUUGGCGGGGGAGUUAGUCGGUGCCCAGAUGCUCUUCUCAUUCAUGUCCCUCUUUAUCAGAAAUGGAAACAGAGAGAUUCUCCUGGAAACCCCUGCCCCAUAAACGGCCCUCUCGAACACAAUGGGACGGAAUCCACCCACAACGCGCUUGGUUUGCAGAUGUCAAAGAAUCUGCAGAGGGUGCUACUGAAGAUCCAGCCUUAGCCAAUCACCACCUCAUUGGGUGAAAGUUCCAGGGCUCAAUCCAGGACCACACUCUUAUUGGCCAGGCAGGGGCUCCCACAGAGCUUUGAGUAACUUCUUGGUUGUGCAGUCUGCAGGCAAUGUUGGCAUUGUAAAUUCCUCCCUUGCAGCCUCCUUCAUGUGGUGAGGGGAUCACUUCAGCUGCCUGCUGUGGACAAAGAACAUCAAAUUACAGCAUCACGAGUGCUAUUGUUGCCUGUGGUGGUCUCCCUGUCCAAGCGGGACCGCUUUGCAGAGACCAGAGGCAUAUCGCGGCUUGAGCUGAAAAUGCAUUUGUUGCAGCUUAGGUUGAAUUAUUUUUCGUUUGCUCUUUCUUCUACACGCGCCUGAUGGAUAGUGAACCUAUUCAUCAAAAAAGUGCACUGCUCUUCUGUCUAUUGUACCGACUUAACCUCUUCCACCCAAGUCCGCAUCUGUGUGUAUCAUCAAUAAAGUUGUGUGCUUUGAUUGGCAGAAAAGAG
rnacentral:lncRNA from 1 species